GUUUAGAACACCCAGGGCUUGAAAUCAGACAAGGAAUGAAAGACCCCCAAAGGGAGACCUUCACUCAAGUCUCGGGAAAAGCGCUCACCCAGUGAGACACUUAGAUCA
rnacentral:pre_miRNA from 7 species